GUUCGGAGACACAACACCUUCAUACAGUACGAGAUCACGUUCCAAAUUUUUUCAAAUCGAAGAAAACUGUAAACAGAAUGAGGGUAUUUUUAGUCAUUGCGGUGGCUUUUUUCGUGUUUGGAUGUAAUGGAAAACCUAUUCAGAAGCGAGACAGUGAAGAUUCGGACAUAGAAGAGGCUGCUGAAGAAUUCGAGAAAGAUAUGAUGAAAAACUCCAGAACAUUUUUGGCGAAGG